rnacentral:rRNA from 1 species
UGAGGGAUAUUGCGCAAUGGGCGGAAGCCUGACGCAGCAACGCCGCGUGGGUGACGAAGGCCUUCGGGUCGUAAAACCCUUUUCUGUGGGACGAGGACGGACGGUACCACAGGAAUAAGCCUCGGCUAACUACGUGCCAGCAGCCGCGGUAAAACGUAGGAGGCGAGCGUUAUCCGGAUUUAUUGGGCGUAAAGCGCAUGCAGGUGGUCUUACAAGUCGGAUGUGAAAGCCCCUGGCUUAACUGGGGGAGUGCGUUCGAAACUGUGAGACUGGAGGCCGGAAGAGGAAAGCGGAAUUCCCGGUGUAGUGGUGGAAUGCGUAGAUAUCGGGAGGAACACCAGUGGCGAAGGCGGCUUUCUGGUCCGGGCCUGACACUCAGAUGCGAAAGCGUGGGGAGCGAACAGG